ACAGCAGCCGCCACGGUAAUACGGAGGGUGCAAGCGUUAUCCGGAUUUAUUGGGUUUAAAGGGUCCGUAGGCGGACUUAUAAGUCAGUGGUGAAAGCCUGUCGCUUAACGAUAGAACUGCCAUUGAUACUGUAAGUCUUGAGUAUAUUUGAGGUAGCUGGAAUAAGUAGUGUAGCGGUGAAAUGCAUAGAUAUUACUUAGAACACCAAUUGCGAAGGCAGGUUACCAAGAUAUAACUGACGCUGAGGGACGAAAGCGUGGGUAGCGAACAGGAUUAGAUACCCCCGUAGUCCCUGUCUCUUAUAC
rnacentral:rRNA from 1 species